UUCACCACAAAACUACAUUGACUGUAUCAUUGCAUCUUGAAAAGACCGUUCUACAUUCAUUUCUUAAUCAUGAAAGGCAAGAUUUUCGCAGUGGUAUUUUGUCUGAUAUUUGCAGCCUGCUUGAUGUACCCAACUGAGGCAGUUUACCAUUUACAAAGACCGCAAGGACUAAGAUCUUUGGCGAUGAAAGAUUCUCGAAAGGAUAUUAGAAACAUAUGCGCGACCAUGAAUGAUGUUUGUAAAACUGAAAGAGAAGCCUUAACGCAAGGUUUCCAAGCUCAAACUACCGACUAAGGUCUUUCACAGAAGUGGAAAAUUGUAUUCAGAUGAAAACCUAAGUGCAAAUAAAAUAGAACUGUGACAUGAA